GACGAACGCUGGCGGCGUGCUUAACACAUGCAAGUCGAGCGGUAAGGCCUCUUCGGGGGUACACGAGCGGCGAACGGGUGCGUAACACGUGGGUGACCUGCCCUCAGCUCUGGGAUAAGCCUGGGAAACUGGGUCUAAUACCGGAUAUGACCACAUGUUGCAUGGUGUGUGGUGGAAAGUUUUUUCGGCUGGGGAUGGGCCCGCGGCCUAUCAGCUUGUUGGUGGGGUGAUGGCCUACCAAGGCGACGACGGGUAGCCGGCCUGAGAGGGCGACCGGCCACACUGGGACUGAGACACGGCCCAGACUCCUACGGGAGGCAGCAGUGGGGAAUAUUGCGCAAUGGGCGGAAGCCUGACGCAGCGACGCCGCGUGGGGGAUGGCGGCCUUCGGGUUGUAAACCUCUUUCGACCGGGACGAAGCGUAAGUGACGGUACCGGUAGAAGAAGCACCGGCCAACUACGUG
rnacentral:rRNA from 1 species